UACGGAAGGUGCAAGCGUUGUUCGGAAUGACUGGGCGUAAAGCGCACGUAGGCGGAUUCGUAAGUCAGGGGUGAAAUCCCGGGGCUCAACCUCGGAACUGCCUUUGAUACUGCGGGUCUUGAGUCCGAUAGAGGUGGGUGGAAUUCCUAGUGUAGAGGUGAAAUUCGUAGAUAUUAGGAAGAACACCGGUGGCGAAGGCGGCCCACUGGAUCGGUACUGACGCUGAGGUGCGAAAGCGUGGGGAGCAAACAGG
rnacentral:rRNA from 1 species